UAAUACGUAGGGCGCAAGCGUUGUCCGGAAUUAUUGGGCGUAAAGAGCUCGUAGGCGGCCUGUCGCGUCCGUCGUGAAAGCCCGGGGCUUAACUCCGGGUCUGCGGUGGAUACGGGCAGGCUAGAGGCAGGUAGGGGAGAAUGGAAUUCCCGGUGUAGCGGUGAAAUGCGCAGAUAUCGGGAGGAACACCGGUGGCGAAGGCGGUUCUCUGGGCCUGUACUGACGCUGAGGAGCGAAAGCGUGGGGAGCGAACAGGAUUAGAUACCCUGGUAGUCCACGCCGUAAACGUUGGGCGCUAGGUGUGGGGUCCUUCCACGGAUUCCGUGCCGCAGCUAACGCAUUAAGCGCCCCGCCUGGGGAGUACGGCCGCAAGGCUA
rnacentral:rRNA from 1 species